rnacentral:misc_RNA from 1 species
UUCAUGAGCUACAGAAUCAUAGAUUGAUGACUUCGUUUAUUACCAUUUUCAAAGAGCUGCAAAAUUCCAAACCGUUGCUACAUACUUGGAACUAGCGCAACUUUAUAAAUAAAUACGAAAAAGAAACAGCACUAGGUUCUACCAACAACAUAUACAAGAUCAGGUCGCUAUGAACAGAAUAAUACACUUGAAUAAACACUAUAAAGAGAAGAUGUAGAUUUGAACACUCGAAGCUUUGUACUCUCUCAUGGCAACUGCUUCACAAUGCGGGUUAAAAAAAAAAUGUUUUUGGAUACUAUUUCACACAGUGCAAGGAGGAGCUUAAUUCCACUUGAAUUUGAUAAACUGAAUGAAAAUGCAUUCUGAUGUAGCUGUAAAGUUUGCUUAGUUGUCAUUGUGGCGAAUGGAAUCUGCAAGGAAAUAUGUAUAACAGAAUUGCAGUCCAGCCAAGAAAAAAGGAUGAUGUAUCUGCAUGAUGUUCAUCUCCUCCCUGAAUUUACAUGAUGGUUUCACUUUACAGCAAUAAGCAUUUCAGCUUUCAGACAUCCAGUUCCCUUCUUUCUCCAUUUUCUUCCUGACCAGGUAUGGAUUUCAGCUGCUGCUGCAACUGCACAUAUUUCAGCCUUUCAGAAUUAAGUUCAUCAGUCAAAUUGAUCAUCCUAGCUUGAAGCUCAGAAAUUUUCAUCAACAACAAUCGUUCCCUCUCAGAAGGUGCCGCUUCAACACUUCCAUUAUUCUCUGAACCACGAGGCAAUGGUGGCAACUUUCCAUUUUGUACAUCUACAGCUUCAGCUGGUUGCAAGCUAUUGAACAAAUUCACAAUAAGAUCCUGUUGAAUUGAGGUCUGCUGAAAAAGGUUCUGCAGGUAAGGCAUAAGGAGUGAUGCAGGUAAAUUGCUAUUGCUGAUCUCCUUGGGAGACUGACUGGUAGACGUUUGUUUGGACUCAAAAAUCCAAUCACCAACACUUGCAGACUUUCUUAGUGGUGAUCCCUGUGAAGAUCGACGUGGAACUGUACUUAAUGGAAUAUCCUUUACGAGAUCUAAAUUUUCUGAUGUUACUGAAAAUCGCCCCUUGAUUUGCACUAGAUUAGCCUUUGACUUCUCAUCCAAAGAAUCUCUAAAUCCUCCUGAAGAUUUUAUAGGAGCUGAUAAACUGUUUGCAGAAGCUCGGUUUGGAAGCAUCAGUGGACCACUAAAGCUUGGAGCUUUUCGAACUUCACGAGUGGUUUUCUCUGUUAUUGGCUGACUGUCAUUCUCAGACCUUUCCCAAAAACGCCCCUUGUCUGACAAUGAAUGGCCAAGUACAGCACCAGGCACAAGUGGCCCACUCUGACUUUGGCGGCCCUUCACCAUUUUAGCCUUAUCCUGAGUCAUGUCCCUUUCAGAGGUUGAUACUUUUUCAUCAUUGGUUGCAUCAUUUUUCUUCCAACCAAAUUUCUCUUGGAUCCCAGUUUCUAGAGUAUCACUUUCAAGGAGCUUGCCCUUUCUGAUCAAGCUCUCAGCAUGCGACAAUUCAUCUGCACCCGUCCGUGCUCUGCACUCAACUUGCUGUAUUUCACUAUUUGAGUUCAGUUUCACAGAACUGGAUUGACCAUCAGACAGAGACUUAUCACUACCAAAUUGUUUCAUGCAUUCAUCUUCUUCCC